rnacentral:rRNA from 1 species
GGGGAAUAUUGCGCAAUGGGGGAAACCCUGACGCAGCAAUACCGCGUGAGUGAAGAAGGUUUCCGGAUCGUAAAGCUCUGUUAUUGGGGAAGAAAAAAAGACGGUACCCAAGAAGAAAGUCCCGGCUAACUACGUGCCAGAAGCCGCGGUAAUACGUAGGGGACAAGCGUUGUCCGGAUUUACUGGGCGUAAAGGGCACGCAGGCGGUUUUUUAAGUCAGAUGUGAAAGGUACCGGCUCAACCGGUGACAUGCAUUUGAAACUGAAAGACUUGAGUAUUGGAGAGGCAAGUGGAAUUCCUAGUGUAGCGGUGAAAUGCGUAGAUAUUAGGAGGAACACCGGUGGCGAAGGCGGAUUACUGGACGACAACUGACGGUGAGGCGCGAAAGCGUGGGGAGCAAACA